GCAUAUCAUAGCGGAGGAAAAGAAACCAACAGGGUUUGCCCCAGUAACGGCGAGUGAAGCGGCAAGAGCUCAAAUUUGAAAUCUGGCCUCCCCCGGGGGCCCGAGUUGUAAUUUGCAGAGGAUGCUUCGGGUGCGGCCGCCGUCUAAGUUCCUUGGAACAGGACGUCAGAGAGGGUGAGAAUCCCGUCUUGGGCGGGCGGUCCGCGCCCGUGUGAAGCUCCUUCGACGAGUCGAGUUGUUUGGGAAUGCAGCUCUAAGCGGGUGGUAAAUUUCAUCUAAAGCUAAAUAUUGGCCGGAGACCGAUAGCGCACAAGUAGAGUGAUCGAAAGGUUAAAAGCACCUUGAAAAGGGAGUUAAACAGCACGUGAAAUUGUUGAAAGGGAAGCGCUUGCGGCCAGACUCGGGGGCGGGGUUCAGCGGGUGCUCGUCGCCCGUGUAUUCCUCGUCUCCCGGGCCAGCAUCAGUUUCGACGGCCGGUCAAAGGCCCCCGGAAUGUGUCGUCUCUCGGGACGUCUUAUAGCCGGGGGUGCAAUGCGGCCCGUCGGGACUGAGGAACGCGCUCCGGCUCGGAUGCUGGCGUAAUGGCCGUAAGCGGCCCGUCUUGAAACACGGACCAAGGAGUCUAACAUCCACGCGAGUGUUCGGGUGUCAAACCCGUGCGCGCAGUGAAAGCGAACGGAGGUGGGAGCCUUAGGGCGCACCAUCGACCGAUCCUGAAGUCUUCGGAUGGAUUUGAGUAGGAGCGUGGCCGUUGGGACCCGAAAGAUGGUGAACUAUGCCUGAAUAGGGUGAAGCCAGAGGAAACUCUGGUGGAGGCUCGCAGCGGUUCUGACGUGCAAAUCGAUCGUCAAAUUUGGGCAUAGGGGCGAAAGACUAAUCGAUAUCUAGUAGCUGGCUCUGCG
rnacentral:rRNA from 1 species